UACGUAGGGUCCGAGCGUUGUCCGGAAUUAUUGGGCGUAAAGAGCUCGUAGGCGGUCUGUCGCGUCGAAUGUGAAACCCCGAGGCUCAACCUCGGGUCUGCAUUCGAUACGGGCAGACUAGAGUUCGGUAGGGGGAGUCUGGAAUUCCUGGUGUAGCGGUGAAAUGCGCAGAUAUCAGGAGGAACACCGGUGGCGAAGGCGGGUCUCUGGGCCGAUGACUGACGCUGAGGAGCGAAAGCGUGGGGAGCGAACAGG
rnacentral:rRNA from 1 species